rnacentral:rRNA from 1 species
UUAAAAAUCAACCAAUAUGUGAAAAUUCAUCGCUGAACUUAAAAACACUAACGAAAGUAAUUCUAACUAACUUAAUACACGAUAGCUAAGACCCAAACUGGGAUUAGAUACCCCACUAUGCUUAGCCCUAAACCCUAAUAAUUCAAUAACAAAAUUAUUUGCCCGAGAACUACUGGCCACAGCUUAAAACUCAAAGGACUUGGCGGUACUUUACAUCCAUCUAGAGGAGCCUGUUCUAUAAUCGAUAAACCCCGUUAUACCUUACCACUCCUUGCUAAUUCAGCCUAUAUACCGCCAUCUUCAGCAAACCUUAAAAAAGAACAACAGUAAGCAAGAGAAUCACCAUAAAAACGUUAGGUCAAGGUGUAGCCUAUGGAGUGGGAAGUAAUGGGCUACAUUUUCUAAAUAAGAACAUUACGAAACCCUUUAUGAAAUCUAAAGGACAAAGGAGGAUUUAGUAGUAAAUUAAGAAUA